CUACUCAGGCACACCCAGAAGUGUGCUCGACCCAUCACCUAGACUGCUUCCAAGGUAAUUUGACAAAAGGAAACUUCACCUCCAUACCAUGAGGACACAAAAUAUGGAGAAAUGAUCUUCGGGCACUGUUACUUCUGCCAAUUAUUUGUAUGGAAACAUUACUGGAAAGUUGGAAGGCAGCUUGGGCUGGAAGCCAUUCUAUGUGUGAAGUGGUCCCAACUCUUGGAUCCCCCUGAGCAAAUUUCUGGGGAGGUCCACAAACAGGACUUGGAGGCCAAGAAUAAUGCUUUGAAGUACUUAAUUACACAAGUAAAAGCCAAUCCUUGGAGGACAGUACACUUGGGAGAUUUCCAAAGGGGCAGGGCAUCUAGGAGUUUUCUCCCAUUUCUCCAGUCUAGAUCAAAAGCCAUAAUGAGAAAGUCAACAUGGCAGGAAUACAGACAUUCAACAAGAACUACAGGCAGUGUCUAGAAAUGGAAGGCAGCCUCUAGUUAAGAGUGUUCUCCAGGGAAUCAGUGCAAUAUUAAAAAAGAGAACACAUUCUUCCAUCAACCAGAGUUAGAAGAAAGGAGAUCUUCCACCAUUCAUGUCUCCAGGUGUAAUCACAGCCUUGCUAAGCUAUGCUCAGAUUCUUGGACUGAGGAAACUGACAAAAGAAAAUGGAAUGAAAAUAGAGAGCACACUAAGAAUGAGAGAAAGGAGCCCAUGGACAGAAGUGAAAGGAUCAGAGAAGGUCCUAAGGGAGAAAAAGGUGCUUCAAGCCCAUGACAUGCUGGUAUUGAAUUGCCUCAAAGAAACACAUUAUUUUGUUCAUUUACAAAAACUAGUACAUGUAAUAAUAAUGACAAAAUAUAUAUUACACAUGGCAUAAAAAUGCACUCCAUCAUUCUGAGCAACUUUGUA